rnacentral:rRNA from 1 species
UACGUAGGGUGCGAGCGUUGUCCGGAAUUAUUGGGCGUAAAGGGCUCGUAGGCGGUUUGUCGCGUCGGGAGUGAAAACUCAGGGCUUAACCCUGAGCCUGCUUCCGAUACGGGCAGACUGGAGGUAUGCAGGGGAGAAUGGAAUUCCUGGUGUAGCGGUGAAAUGCGCAGAUAUCAGGAGGAACACCGGUGGCGAAGGCGGUUCUCUGGGCAUUACCUGACGCUGAGGAGCGAAAGUGUGGGGAGCGAACAGG